rnacentral:rRNA from 1 species
CCCUUAGAUGUCCUGGGCCGCACGCGUGCUACACUGACGCCCACAGCGAGUACUUCCCAGCCCCGAGAGGCGGCUGGUAAUCAGCAAUAGGCGUCGUGAUGGGGAUAGAUCUUUGGAAUUCUGGAUCUUGAACGAGGAAUGCCUAGUAAGCGCAGGUCAUUAGCCUGCGCUGAUUACGUCCCUGCCCUUUGUACACACCGCCCGUCGCUCCUACCGAUUUCGAGUGGUCCGGUGAAUCUUUCGGACUGCGCGCAGCUUCGUGCCGUGUCGCGGAAAGUCAGGUAAACCUAAUCACUUAGAGGAAGGACAAGUCGUAACA